GCGGAUGUGGCGUAAUUGGUAGCCGCGCUAGACUUAGGAUCUAGUUCCGUGAGGAGUGAGAGUUCGAGUCUCUCCAUCCGCA
rnacentral:tRNA from 1 species